rnacentral:lncRNA from 1 species
CUUGAGUCUAAAGGAAAAUUACUAUGGUUGAAAUCUUGAACACGACAGUUUAUGUGAAGGUUGUAUUUUUGGCAAGCAGCAAAAUGUUACUUUCUUUAAAAUCGAAAGGGAACCAAAAGAUACAAAUUUGGAGUUGACUCAUGUGGAUUUACAAGGGCUUUCAACUAUUACUUCACUUGAAAGUUCAAAUUAUUAUAUAACAUUUAUUGAUGAUUCAAGCUGAAAGGUAUGGGGGUAUUUUGUGUAUUUUUUGAAGAACAAACCUGAUAUUUUUUAUGCCUUCGAGAAAUUGAAAGUCAUGGUUGAAAAUGAGACGUAUUUAAAGGUGAAGUGUUUGCAGUCAAAUAAUGGAGAAGAGUGUAAAAGAUGAUGAUUUCAUAAAGUGCUAUGCCGAUAUGGAAUCAAGAUGAAAAACAUCCUUGGAAUACCUCAACAAAAUAGUGUGGUUGGGAGGAUGAAUAGGACUCUAAAUGAGCGUGCUAAAAGUAUGAGAUUACAUACUGGGUUACUAAAGAUGUUUCGGGAUAAGGCUGCCAACAAUGCAGUUUACGUGAUCCACAGAGGUCCUUCAACACCAUUGAAUUGCAGAAUAUCAGAGGAGGUUUGAAGCAGUAAAGAGGUAAAACUUUCACACUUGAAAGUGUUUGGUUUUGAGCUUCUUUUAUUAUAACUGCCCAUCAUGAAAUUAUGGAAAACUAUGUUUAUAGAAAUUAUAGAAAUGAAUAUCUUGCUAAUGGAGAAUCUAUGGUUAUUGUUGGCAUUUGUAAUGUAGUUUGAGGAUGUCAAAUUGUUCAAUAUGAAAAAUUCAUAAAAUUUAACAUGUGCAUAAAUUGAUGCGUAAUAAGAUCUCAAUUGAAUAGCUCGAUGAUGAAGGUCAUAAUGCAUCUUUCGAUAUUUUUUAUUGAAAAGUUACUGAGGGAGCCAUGGUUAUUACCCGAGGAAAUAAAUUCGAAACUCUUGACAUUACUUUCAAUAGUAAAGACAUGGCUACAGUUGAUAAUCCACUAUUAGUUCUAAUCUAUGACAUUAUAGGCUGGGAAACAAGAAGACUACAGUUGCUGAUUUCGCAUUUAGUUAUGAUUUGCGACAUUGUAAACUGGGACAGAUGAGUAAGAAGGAAAUGGAAGUACUUCAAUCUAAAGGGAAGUUACCAUGGUAGAAAUCUUGAACACAGUAGUUCGUAUGAAUGUUGUAUUUUCCAUACGCAAAAAAAUGUUAUCUUCUCUAAAAUCGAAAAGAAUCCAAAAGAUACAAAUUUGGAGUUUUUACUCGUGCUAAUGUAUAGAGACUUUCAAUGUUACUUCACCUAAAGAUUCAAAUUAUUGUGUAACAUUUAUAGAUGAUUCAAAUAGAAAUCUAUGGGAAUAUUUUUUGAAGAAUAAAUAUGAUGUUUUUUUAUGCCUUCAAAAAAAUUGAAAGUGAUGGUUUAAAACUAGACAAAUAUAGAGGUCAAGUGUUUGCAAUCAAAUAAUGGGGAAGGGUAUAUAGAUAAUGAUUUCAAGAAUUAUUAUGCUGAUAAUGGAAUCAACAUGAAGAACAUUUCAGGAAUGCCUCAACAAAAUAGUGUUGUUAAGAUAAUAAAUAGAACUCUAAAUGAGCGUGCUAAAAGUAUAAAAUUACAUGUUGGGUUACCAAAGAUAUUUUGUUUUAAAGAUGUUGACAAUGUAGCAUAUGUGAUCAACGGAGGUCCUUCAACACCCAGAAUUGCAGAAUAUCAAAAGAAGUUUGGUGCAAUAAAGAGGUGAAACUUUCAAUCAUUAACAUUCAAUGAAAGUUUCUUGUAUAAGAAUUGGUCUGGAACAAACCCAAAGACUCAAGUCCCGAAAUUACGAAACUUAAGGUAAUCCCAUUGAAGGAUCUUCUAGUGAUUAAAGUAGAAAAUACUGACGGUGAAAAAUCAAGAAAAUAUAGCCACAUACGUAUAUCAGAACAACCUUGUGACUCUACCUCUAGAUCCCACAAAAAUACUAGACCUUCACUUCUAGCAAUGCAUUAUUUCCUAUCGACUAAUGGAGGUGAACCAAAAAAUUAUAAUGAAAAAUUAGAAGUUUAUAAAUCAAUCGAGUGAAAGUUAACUAUGAAAGAUGAGAUGGACUAAUUAUUGUCCAAAAAAUUUUGGCAAUUGAUAGAGUUAUCAAAAUGAAAGAAUGUUGUUUAAAAAAUACAAGUUUUGCUGAUUAAAAGAAGAUCAUGGAAUAUUAACACUUGAGAAGAUUUUAGAGUCAGAAUUCAAAUGACUGUUCCAAUCGACCAAUGAAGUUGUAUGCAGCUUCAAUUGGGCUUCUCUCAAUGAUGAUAAAUUAGUAUUUAAAUGAGAUAUUGUUAAGUUGUGAAACCUAAUUUAUUAAGAAAUGUUUAGGAAUUUAUAUUUGAAUUGGAGUCCUAAUUAUUGUGAAGUCGGGAACCCAAUUUUUACAAAAUUCUAUUAAUGGAAUGGGAUCCUAAUAAUUCUCAAGUUGCGAAGCCUAAUUUUAGUAAAGAAUUAGACUUGUUAAAUUUUGAUUGUCCUAUUUUGUUUGAUAUUCUAAUAAUUGUGAAGUAUAACAAAAUAUGAAAGCCAAGUCCCUAGUUUUACAAGCUUAAACGAGACAUAACUGUAAAAAUCCCUUUUUCUUAUUUUUAAUAUUAUUAUCAAAACUUUAAUCAAUUUUGAAAAAUUAAUAAUUAAAAUAAUAUUAUAACAAACAUCUAAAAUUAUAAAAUAUUUUAUUUACUAUAUUUAUAUAAUUUUCAAAUUUCUGAAAUACAAAACCUAAGCUAUUUUUCAUAGUUUAAACUUUCAACCAUAUAAAUCCUACUUUAAAAGAUUUUCUAGUGUGUUUUAAUUUUUAAUUUUUAAUCCAAUAAAAACGUUUAAAAACUUAAAACUAGAUUUGAGCUGACUUCCUGAAACACUGAUUUUCUUUUUAAUCUUAUAAAUUAGAAGCCAUCAAAUUUUUAAUCAAUGAUCAGAUAGAAAAUAGAAAAAUUAAGUUAGGCCUAUUUGAUAUGCCCUUAUUUUCCAUGAAAAAUGAAAAUUAAAUUUCAUUUCCCACUUUUUGACAUGUUUAAUGAUAGAUUUUUUUUAUGUAAAUAAUUUUCCCCAAACCCUUGCCACAUUAGCUUUUUCUUGCUUUUUGAUGAAAAGCAAUUCUCACUAUUUUUCUUCUUUCUUUUUUCUUUUUGACAAUUGAGACAAACUCUAGAAACUGUUAAAAAAUUUAUCAUUUAAAUUGACAAUUUUCAUUUAAAAUAAAAUCAAUCGAUCACCAAAAGAGAUGAUUUUUUGCGUAUCUUUUUAUUUUCUUUUGU